UACGGGGGGGCAAGCGUUGUUCGGAAUUACUGGGCGUAAAGAGCUCGUAGGCGGUUUGUCGCGUCUGCUGUGAAAACUGGAGGCUCAACCUCCAGCCUGCAGUGGGUACGGGCAGACUAGAGUGCGGUAGGGGAGAUUGGAAUUCCUGGUGUAGCGGUGGAAUGCGCAGAUAUCAGGAGGAACACCGAUGGCGAAGGCAGAUCUCUGGGCCGUAACUGACGCUGAGGAGCGAAAGCAUGGGGAGCGAACAGG
rnacentral:rRNA from 1 species